rnacentral:rRNA from 1 species
UACAGAGGUCCCAAGCGUUGUUCGGAUUCACUGGGCGUAAAGGGUGCGUAGGCGGUCUGGUAAGUCUGGCGUGAAAUCUCCAAGCCUAACUUGGAAACUGCGUUGGAUACUAUCCGGCUCGAGGAAUGGAGGGGAGACUGGAAUACUUGGUGUAGCAGUGAAAUGCGUAGAUAUCAAGUGGAACACCAGUGGCGAAGGCGAGUCUCUGGACAUUUCCUGACGCUGAGGCACGAAAGCCAGGGGAGCAAACGGG